GCUUGACAUUAUUGCAGCUAGUUUUGUGUGAUCUAUCAGGCAACAUGUCUCGCUUUGUUGUGAUAUUCUUCUUCACUCUUGUUGCUCUGACCUUCUCCUUACCAGCCUCAAAUUAUGGAAAUUCCAAUGCUACAAAUGGAAGCACCGGGAUAGUAUUACUCGAUACCGCAACGUUUGGUGAUGGCGCAUUUUCUCAAGGAGGCUUUCAUCAAGCGGAAAAAUCCCCGGUCGCCGGGUCGCGUUCCUCCCGCCAACUACCUGAAAGUAGUUGAAAAAAUUACUCAAGACAACAGCUACAAAGUUUCAAGAGUGGACAUCAACUUUGUAAAUGAAGACAACGUUACCGUACAUACAAUUCAACUGCAACCCAACCGUAAAGUGAAAAUGCCCAGGUUACCUGCUUAUGUGAAAAAGUUAAAUCAAUAUUUUUAAAUUAAUAAAUAGAUUUCGUUAUUUUUUUAUUA